rnacentral:lncRNA from 1 species
UAUUUUUUUAACAACCUAAGUGAUUGACAACCUAGUGUUUUAUCAGGUGGGGUAUGGACAAGUACACAAUUCGCAUCCUUGCACUGGCCCUCCUGCCUCUACAGCUCGUAUGCUCUGCUACUGUUGUACAAUGUAAGCACACCAAUCAAUUUUUAUUUCUUCACUUCUCUUGGAAGUCUAUAUGUAGUACAGCUAGUAAGGAGGGUUUUUUAUUGUUUAAUCUUUUGUUUGUUUAUUUAUUCUACUCUAAAGUAUACAAUUGGAUAACAAUUGAAUAUUUGUUUGUUAUUCCAUAGGCUGAAUCAUGGUUGACAUGGAUAUCGAGAAGAUCAAUUUACCAAACGGGCUAUGCGCUCACGAGAGUUGGAUUCAUUGCGGCGCUCAUGGACUAUGCGACUGUUGUUUGGUAGAUUCGAUCUGCUACCCCACUAUGGAUGAGUGCACGAGGGAGUGUAAAAAAUCCUCGUCUUCAAAAGACAUACUACGGGCCAGGACAUCCCCUCCUCCUUUACCUGGUCCUUAAUUUUCCAGCCUAGUCAAAUUGCUUACAUGCAUAUUUACUUGUCCCGGGAAAUGAAAAUAAUGCCUAGUAUAUGUGUGGAAAUACAGUUGUGCAAUAAGAUCGAGUAAUACUCUAGCAAUUGUUGUUGAGUAUUUGGUUUGGCAAAUUGCAUCUAAACUUUUGCCAAUUAUUGCGGGCUAAGUUCUAGUAAUAAUGCAACCUAGGUACAAUGUGAGGCCUAAACCGGAGGUGCUUUUCCU